UGUCACUUGUGUUUCGAAGGUGUACGUGAAGGUGAAAGCAGCCCAGCUGUUGGGAAGAGGUGGCACAACCUCCUUUCUCCUUCUGAGGUGGUGUCACCCUGUGAUGAUUGCUCUACCCUGAGAAGACUGCAGUUUGGUUUGAUUCAUCCAAAACAUUUCUCUUCUAUCUCUGUCUGAAGUGGCUUUGGAUGCAAAGCAAAAGGAUGGUGUCGGACUCUAGAGGAUAAAAAUAUCUUUCCAAUGAACAGAAAAAUAACCCAAAUGAAUACAUCAAAGAGCCCCAAAUGGGCAGAUUCUGGACCUGAAGCUGAUAGAUUCUGCCACAAGUAAUCACACAGAUACAAG
rnacentral:lncRNA from 1 species